GAAACUGCGACGAACUUGCAUCCACAAUGCCUUUGUUCAUAAAGUUUACGUUUUCAGAGCAUUAAUUUUUGAAGGCAAGUGGCAGGAACAUCAAGGCAAUGUAGAGGACCCCUAGGACUAUCAUUUACUGCUAUCAGCUCGGGGUUGUAGUGGUACCACCCGGUGGCUCCCUGGGGUCGGGACAUAUUUCGAGUCCCUAUUUCUACUCUAGGAGGGGAGACAGGGACGAUGUAUCCAUUGAUUGAGCAAUAAUCUUUGAAUACAAGGCGGAAGGAACAUCAAUGCAAGGUAGAGGACCCCUAGGAUUAUCAUUUACAGCUUUGAGUUUGGGGUUUUAGUGGUACCCCCGGUGGCUCCCGGGGGUCAGGACAGAUUUGGAGCCCCUAUUUCUACACUAGGAGGAGUGAUGGGGGCAAUGACCAUUGAUUGAGGUAGAGAAUACUAAGGGGUACUCGAUGCCAUGUAAAGAAGAGCUCUAAGAUACCCGGAAGUAUUGUUUAACUCACCUAAAGAAGAGACUUAUCAACUCACGCAUCCUGUUUGAAGCCGUAGAGGUACCACCUGGUGGCCCUAGUGGGUCGCGACAGAUUGAUGGUCUUUACGUCUAGUCUUUCAUCUAUUCAGGAAGGAUCAAAGAGACCAUUGAACCUCGUACGGGAUUCUAGAAGGUAUUUCAUUCCAAGCAGGCAAAAUAAGUGUUGUACCUUACGGUGUUUAAGAUCGCCUGAAAAAUACAUCUUUAGAUAUCCCCAAUUGGAAAUAUGGGAGAAAGAAAUGUUGCUGUAUUUGAAGAUAGUAGAAACCUGAUGGCAUAAAAAUGCUUUUGUGUUUUCAGGAGCGAUGGCAUAUUUGAUCUCUUUAGAUUAUUUCAUAGCUAUAUAUUUUACAUCAGAAAUUUUGCAACCAUAAACGGAGGGGUGAUGAGUCUUUGAGGAACAAGCAAAUUAUUGAUAAAAAUGCAAUGGCCUUCCUUAGAAAAUUUCGCUUAGUACAGAGUAUCCCUAGUAUUGUGAACGAACAGCAGUAGUUACUAUGGAUAAUUUAUAUAGAUUUAGCUGGCGACCGCCAUUUGAUUUAAGUGGUGACCGCCAUUCAUUAUCUGGCGGCGCAACUUAAUUUAACUGGCAGAAGCCACUUUUUAUAUUAUGGUAACCGCCAUGUAAUGAAGUUGAUUCAGUUUUGCUGAUUUAGCAUUUUGUAUUUUUCGUUUGUUUUGGUUUUGAUGCAAAUGGGUUAUCGUAAGAGUGAGUCUUUAGUUGCUAGUAUAAAAGAGACCGGUUUGGCUGGCUGUAAGUUAAAUGGGACACGGUAACGACAUCAGCCGGGUGCCACGUUGAUAGGUCCUAGAAGUUCAGGGGAUGGUUAUUUUCCUGUCAUAUUUGAUGUAGGACAUUGGGAGAAAUAUAACUACUGAAUUAGGAGUUUGUUUGGAAGGCACAUCUUUUUCUUAGCCGGUAAGCGUUUUUUGUUUGUAUUCUGAUAGUUCGUGAGUAUUAGUAAUUAGUCUAGCACGGUCUUGUUAUUUGUAAGUUCUCGGUUUCUUGUUUGGUUGCAAGUUGGUAGUUUUUUUAAUAUAAAAUUAAUGUCAGUGCGUACAUGGGUGUUUCACAAAACCAGUUUCAACCGAAGGCAGGCAGAGAGUUGCGGGGUUCGGAUAUACGUAUGUCCAUGCGGAUAUUGUGCUACGUAGAGAAUAACCCGAGACUUGGGAGGCAUCGUAACCCUGGUAUAUUGUCAGGAAUUGACGAUAGCUCGUGAAAGGCUUGCAUGGUGGUGGAUUGUUUUCCGUUCUGGGUGUGCUUAUCGCAAGUUGGCGGGAAACCGGAACAAUGUCUUCAGAGUGCAGAUUAGUUACAUUAUAAAGUUAAAGUAACUCGAAAUUUAGAAACAAACUCAAAGAAAAUUAUGACCCCUGGGUCGAGGAGGCCUCUUCUGGUGGACUGUUAGUCCCCGUGGGUCUCUACAGCCCAGUAGCUAAAUACUUCGUUACUAGCUUGAAAAUACCGAUGUAUAUUUAAUUGCUGCGAUAAAAUGUAGAAAUUCAUUUCAAAAUUAAGGAAUAUCUCCCCCAUGCAUAGCUCUUAUCCUUGGACGAAUUUGGCUCCAGUUUUUGGCACUCUAGUUUUCCUUUUAGCUCCUACAAGUUUAUUGUUAUUUCGAUUUUUCAAACUUUCGGCUUGAGCAUCAUUGAUGAGACAUUAUUUUUCGAAAUCCGCAUGUGGUGCAUCAAAAUUGGUACCGUAUAAGUUUUACAUAUUACUGAAAAGGAGCAUUGGAUAUUGGAACUUUUUCUAAAUUUAACUACUUUUGAAUAUUGUUUUAACUUGAAAAGUUAAUACCUGUACAUUUUGCUUUACAUCUGAUACGUACUAUCGAAAAUUUCAAAAGAACUGUUUACAACGUAUCAGAUAUCUAUAUUGCCAAUUGCUUAUUCGUGUAAAUUUGUGUUGAGAGUGAAAGGAGUGAGUGUGCAUAUGUUUUUUUGUAUUAUUUAUUCAUUUAAACAAUAAAUUUGUACUUGUUUAUUCUACAA